rnacentral:rRNA from 1 species
UCGAGGAUCAUUCGCAAUGCGCGAAAGCGUGACGGUGCGACGCCGCGUGCAGGAUGAAGGCCUUCGGGUCGUAAACUGCUGUCAUGAGGGAACAAUGUCCGGAAUGUUAACACCAUCUCGGGGUGAUAGUACCUCAAGAGGAAGCCACGGCUAACUCUGUGCCAGCAGCCGCGGUAAUACAGAGGCGGCGAGCGUUGUUCGGAUUUACUGGGCGUAAAGGGUGCGUAGGCGGUUCUGUGUGUCGGAUGUGAAAGCUCACAGCUCAACUGUGGAAUUGCAUUCGAAACUACAGGGCUGGAGUACAGGAGAGGAGAGCGGAAUUCUCGGUGUAGCGGUGAAAUGCGUAGAUAUCGAGAGGAACACCGGUGGCGAAGGCGGCUCUCUGGACUGAUACUGACGCUGAGGCACGAAAGCUGGGGGAGCAAACA